rnacentral:rRNA from 1 species
GAUGAACGCUGGCGGCGUGCCUAAUACAUGCAGGUCGAGCGAACAGACGAGGAGCUUGCUCCUCUGACGUUAGCGGCGGACGGGUGAGUAACACGUGGAUAACCUACCUAUAAGACUGGGAUAACUUCGGGAAACCGGAGCUAAUACCGGAUAAUAUAUUGAACCGCAUGGUUCAAUAGUGAAAGACGGUUUUGCUGUCACUUAUAGAUGGAUCCGCGCCGCAUUAGCUAGUUGGUAAGGUAACGGCUUACCAAGGCAACGAUGCGUAGCCGACCUGAGAGGGUGAUCGGCCACACUGGAACUGGGACGCGGUCCAGACUCCUACGGGAGGCAGCAGUAGGGAAUCUUCCGCAAUGGGCGAAAGCCUGACGGAGCAGCGCCGCGUGAGUGGUGAAAGUCUUCGGAUCGUAAAACUCUGUUAUUAGGGAAGAACAAAUGUGUAAGUAACUAUGCACGUCUUGACGGUACCUAAUCAGAAAGCCACGGCUAACUACGUG